rnacentral:lncRNA from 1 species
CAGAAACUUUCAUGCCAACCCCCCAAAUCUUUCACCAGUUCAGAGAGAAAGGAACUCACACUUACUGGCCUCCUACUGUGUGUCAAAUGCCACACUAGGUGCUCUCCUUACGUUCUCCCAUCCAGUCUCCCCCGGGACUGUGGGAGGCAGGAGCUGUUGUGUUAUGUCAAACCUAGGACGCCAUCCACCGUAAAAUGCCUUCUGAUUUCAGACGCACCCAAAAUGUGAAUGAAUACGCCUCGUGGAAUCAACGCAACCUGGAAUUCUCUUCCUCUUACAAGGAUGCUCGGGCUCAGAGAGGAGCCGCGAUGAUCCCUGACGGUGGCCCUCGUUUCAGUUCUCUGAACUGGUUCCAAUCCUCUGUCCCAGAACUGCCUCCUUCCAGUUCUCACCCUCUCCAUGGGGCUUCCCGUCACCAAGCCAUCCUUGCUUUCUUGCUGUUUCUUCUGCCUGGAGUGCCCUUCCCUGUCACUGCCCCGCUUCAACCUGCAGCAACAGAGAUGGAAUCACCUGAAGGUGAUUCUUUCCUCUGUGUCUGGGACCCUCAGACCGCAACGGGCACAAGAAUCGUGAGGAGCAGUGUGUUUGAAAUACAGAGUCCUGGCCUUGCCCUGGAGUUCCUGAUUUGACCGGUCUGGGUGAGACCCCGGAAUCCGCACUUUGACAACCCCACCCUGUGACUCUGUCGGGGGAGACUUUGCAAACCACCGCUCUAAGCUUUAGUCUGAGGUCAUCUUGACCAGCAGGAUGGUCCCAAGGGAGCCGCUGCCCCGUGAAAUGCGUAAUCAGUGCCCUCCUGUUUAUAAGGUGGGAAAGCGAUACAGUAAUGAACAGCCAACGUUUUAUGAGUAUCGUUCGUCUUAUUUUAUUAUAUGGUCUUAUUAUUAUUUAUUAUUGCCCCGAAAGUUCAUCACUAUGUUGCACGGUCCCAUCCAGGCUGACCUACCUGUUUAUUCCCACGUGAGUCAAAACCUAACGCUCCUGUUCCUUGAUCCCUUAGGGUUCUGUGUGUUGCUGGCUGACAGCCGGCUCCCAGCCAUCGCCGGGUGGCAGUUCAGAGGUGUGCUGUGUAGUUGUGGCCGUCUGUCUGCUGCCCGUUCAUGAAAGUUCUCAGGACAUAACAGCCUCAUGCAAAAGAGUGACGCUGGUGGCAGAGUUCUGGGCACGGCUGCAAGCCGCCGAUGGUAGGUGCAGGGACUUAGGUGUAAGUUCCUGCCACUUGGUAGGUGGCCUACCAGUAGUUUCUAGAAAAACUGAAGGGCCUAGACUUUACUCCUGAGACCUC